CCCUGAUUGACAGGUAGUUGAACAUGGCAGCCCAGAGCCAACGAGAUAUAGCUUCCCGCUCAUGGGCUUAAAAUUAUUUAAGGUUUCCCGCAUCACUGGGACUAGAGGCGGGCAUCCUGCCCCGAAGGCGUGGAAGUGUUGCUCUUUGGCCAGGACCAGACUUGGGGUGACGUCAUUAUCCACCCGGUGACGCCGAGGGAGAGGCUGUGCAGUGUGCCCAGGGUCUCCGGGGGGCAGACGAAGUCUUGGCCCGCCAGCUCUGCUCUUGCAGCUGUUUGUGCAGAGUGUGGUACCUGACCGUGAGCUGGAGCUGCCCCACUGCACCAUGGAACCCUAGAACUCGCCACCCUGGACUGGGCUGUGGCACCCAUCACCCAGACAGCCUCUGUCUGCCUUCCUCCCGCCCUGCCCACUUCCAGCCUCUACAGCUCAGCACAGAUGCAUACAUUAAAACUAAAAAGUGGUCCAUAUAUACAGUGGACUAUUCUGCCACAAGAAGAAUGCAGUCCUGACGGUGGCAGUGAAAUUAGUGGAACUGGAGAUCCUUAUGAUAAGGUAGAUGCAGAGAGACAGAUGCUGUGUGUUCUGUCUCAGAUAUGGAGGUUGAUUAAUAAAAAGUUGAUAAUUAAUUUAAAAAUAUGUUGUGCGCUGUGCCACAGUGGGUUAAGCCGUCGUCUGCAGUGCCCUCAUCCUAUAUGGACGCUGGUUUGAGUCCUGGAUGCUCCACUCCAAUCCAGCUCCCUGCUAAUGGCCUGGGAAAGCCAUGGAGCAUGGCCCAGGUCCUUGGGCACCUGCACCCACGUGGGAGACUUGGAAGAAGCUCCUGGCUCCUGGCUCCUGGCUUUAGUCUGGCUCAGUCCUGGCCAUUGUGACCAUUUAGAGAAUGAACCAACAGAUGGAAGAUCUCUCUCUCUCUCUCUUCUCUCUGUAACUCUGCCUUUCCAAUAAAUAAAAAUAAAUCUUUAAAAAAAAUAGUUGAUCUAGACUUCAGAGUGAUUAUAUGUGGGGUUUUUUCUUCAUACGCCUCUCUCUUUGUGCCCACCUCCCUACCCUUUCUGCCCCUGUCUCUUCCCACGUGUUGUCUUAAUCUAAUAUUACUGAGACCUUGGAGAUUUUCCAACUCAGUGCCUGACCCACAGAGACCCAGAGAAGCUGUGCAACCUGUCUAAGGUCACACAGCAGGUCCAGGGCAGCUGUGGCCCCGGCUCCAUCUGUUCCUGCGUUGCUGGUGUUUGUGUUGCUGGAAUAGAACGCCUGAGCCUGGGGGAUUUAGAAAGGAAAGAGGUUUCUCCUGGCUCACAGGUCUGGAGGUCCAUGAGGGUGGAGCCAGCAUUUGCUCAGCCUCGGGUGAUGGCCCCGUGUUGAGUGGGUGACAGCUGGGCACAGGGGAGCAGGGAAGAUGGGGCCAACUCCCACAGUGGCUGACCCAUUGCCACGGGAAAGCAUUAAUCCAUUCAUCAGAAGCUUGCUCCCGCUGGGUCCUCCCUCCCAGCAGUGCUACCAUGGCAACCAGAUUCCAAAGUGAGUUUUGGAGGGGACAGCCACAUCCAAAGCAGGGCACUGUCCUGCCUAGGCGGCGUUUGCCGUGGAGGAUGUAACCAUGCACACCUCUUGCUGAGAGCUUGCUUUGAGUCCAGCUGUCUCCUAAGUGUGUGAAAUGUGUAUUCUCAUUUAAUCCUCUAAACAAUUUCAGGAGCUAGGGAGUAUUGCCCCCACUUUAUUGAUGAGAAAACUGAGGACCGAUUAAAGGUGGGGGAGACAUAAAUUGAACCCAGGUUAUUUGACUAUGGAGCCAUUUUCUUGACAGACACAGAGGGAUCUUCCAUCCAUGGUUCACUCCCCAAAUGCCUGCAAGAGCCAAGGCUGGGCCAGGCUGCAGAGGCACUGGGAACUCCAUUCAGGUCUCCCGUGUGGGUGCAGGGACCCGAGCACUCGAGCCGUCCUCUGCUACCUCCCAGGAUGUGCAUUAGCAAGAAGCUGGAUCAGAAGUAGAGCCAGGACUUGGAUCAAGCACUCAGAUAUGGGAUAGGGCAUCCAAAAUGGCAACUUACUGCUGGGCCAAAUGCCUGCCCCAAGCCCGUUUUUAAAUUCAGCUCACUAUGCUGUCUCUCAGUAGUUGCCAUCUUCAUGAGUUUGAUCAUUUGGAAAUUUGGAGACCCUGAAAGUUGGAGUAAUAGAUUUAAAAACCUUAAUUAAAAUGUAGAUCUCUGCAGUAAGUAAUAUCUAUAGUUCAUAUGUACUGUGAAUUAGAGUGCAGUUGUUUCUUGAACUGUCUGUUGGAUUUUAGGAGCUAGGGGAUUCAGGGACCAGAAUUAUCCUCCUUUCUAUUUGAUAGACCAGGAACAUCUUGACAAGUUUUCCAAAGUGUUAUCUGGAGAGUGACCACACGGGGCCAGUGGUGAGUAAGCAUUGAAGCAAGCUGACAACAAAGCCACUUCCUCCUGUUGGAGAGAAAAGUGCUUCGUAUCUAAUCUAUUCAUGCCAUAUAAUCUUGCUCAUUCACUGUUUACAGAUUAUUUUACACACUACAGACCUACUACAGGUGUGACUUUGCGGAAUUUCUUAAGAAGCCAGACCAAUUCUUUGGAAAUGUUGAAAUAUUAAUGUGCUUCAUCACUAUCAGGUUAGUCUUAGAAAUUACAGACCCCAAGAUCAAGACCUAGGAGCUCGAAAGAAGGUUGGCUUAUUAAAUAUUUUCAGAUCUAGUUAAUUACAGGAAAAUUAAGAUUUCUUUUUAAAAAAUAUUUAUUUAUUAGAGAGAGAGAGAGAUCUUCCAUCCACUGGUUCACUUCCCGGUUGGCUGCAAUGGCCAGGCCAUCUUCUUGGGCUAUCUUCCACUGCUUUCCCAGGCCAUUAGCAGGGAGCUGGAUUGGAAGUGGAGCAGCCGGGAUUCAAACCAGCGCCCAUCUGGGAUGCCAGUGUUGCAGGUGGUCGCUUUACGCACUACACCACCAUGCUGAAAAUGAAGAUUUCUAUUCCACAUGUUUCCAGGGAGAAUUUCUGUCAUCUAACUUAUAUUAAAACCAUGUAAAAUAGCGCAGUUCAGAGGAAAACAGGAAAUGAAUCCACAGCCACAGGAGGAGAGAAAAGCCAGGUCAAGCACGUGUCAGCGCUGACUCUGAACUCCCGUGAGCGGGACGAGGAACAAGGAGAGUCCUGGGAGUUCUCCAGCACCUGCAAGCACGCUGCACCGGGCUGCACGUGGGACGGAGUCUUGGGCUGAGUCUCUGGGAUCGCCUGUGGUGUGAAGUGCUCCUCGGAUGCCCCCGCAGGGCUUGGGGUAGACAGAGCUUUCACACCGAUGCUGCAGCAGGCAGGGCUUCCGGUUGCUGCCCUGAGAGACGCUCUGUGGUGGGCUGAAUGUGUGUCGGCAUCCGAGCCCCCAGGGUGUUGGUGUGUGUAGUGGGGAUGUUGCGGGGCGGUGAGGUCAUGGAUGGGGUGAGUGCCCUUACAAGAGGGGCCUCAGAGAGCUCCGCGGCUCUUGCUUUGCUGUGUGAGGCCACGUGGAGAAGACGGCGAUCUGCAACCCGGAGCCCUGGCCAGACCCCACGUCUGCCAGAGCUUGACCUGGCACCUUCUGUCCCCUCAAACUGGAGAAAAGGCCCUUUGUUGUUCAGGAGCUGCUCGGUCCAUGGCUCUUUGUUACAGCAGCUGAGCUGACUAAUACGCUCCCUGGAGUCCUUAUCCUCCUUCUUGGAACUUGCUUUACUCUCUCUGGUCCCUGGUUUGUCUUUUCCUCUACUUACACUUUAUACUCUGUUAAUUAUGUAUCUUCCUGUCAUUUAACUCACACUGUCAGGGAGACUAUGAGGUCUGUGUCAUCUGUGUCGCUUUGUAUUGCACCUGUUGCAAUGUGUUAAUUUAUCAAGGUCUGGGAACAGCCUCACAGUAUCACGGUGGCAGUGUCCCAGAACAGGGUGCACUGACCGUUGAUGUAGUUCGUUGUAAUGAAGCCUGGCUCCAGCCACUGCUAUUGCUUAAUUUUAUUCAAACAUAUUCUGGCAAACUUAAAAAAAUUCAUCAUUAAAGCAUUGAUUUGUUGUAAUUUCAAAGAAAAUCAUAGGGGCCGACGCUGUGGCGUAGUGGGUAAAGCCACCACCUGCAGUGCUGGCAUCCCAUAUGGGCACCGGUUCUAGUCCCGGCUGCUCCUCUUCCAAGCCAGCUCUCUGCUAUGGCCUGGGAAAGCAGUGGAAGAUGGCCCAAGUCCUUGGGCCUCUGCACCCAUGUGGGAGACUCAGAAGAAGCUCCUGGCCUCCAAUCAGCACAGCUCCGACUGUUGUAGCCAUCUGGGGAGUGAACCAGUGGACGGAAGACCUCUCUCUCUCUGCCUCUCUGUAUAACUCUGACUUUCAAAUAAAUAAAUCUUAAAAAAAAGAAAAUCAUAGAUAUUAUAGAGUAAAUCCGUUGUUUAAAGAUUUACUUUAUUUAUUUGAAAGGCAGAGUUACAGAGAGAGAGAAAGAUCUUCAGUCUGCUGGUUCACUCCCCAAACGGCUCCAAUGGCCAGGGCUGGGUCAUGGCAAAGCUAGGAGCCAGGAGUUUCAUCUGGGUCUCCCCUGUGGGUACAGGCAUUCAAGGACUUAGGCCAUCUUCCGCUGCUUUCCCAGGUGCGUUAGCAGGGAGCUGAUCAGAAGUGGAGCAGCGAGGACUUGAACUGGUGCCCAUUUGGGAUAUUGGUGUCACAGGGUUGGCUUUACCCACCACGCCACAGUGUUGGCCCCUAUAGAGUAAAUAUUGCUCAACUAACAGGUGUAUAUUGAGGGUCUGCUUUGUGCAAGGUAGAAGCCACGUUGUUAGAUGGGAGCUUGCAUUUUAGUGUGGAGAUCUAGAGAAUGGCUGAGCAGCAGGAGGGGUGAGUGCCCAGAAGAAAGUCACUUGGGCUCAGCGGCUGGAUGUGUGACAUGAGAAGCCCCUCUGAGAAGGUGGCAUUCGAGGCCUGAUCCAGCAAAGGUCACAGCAAGACAUGCGCAUGGCUAUCAGAGGGAAGAGUAGGAGAGAUGCAUUUUUACGAUUACCUUUAAAGAUAAAACAGGAUUUCCAAAUGUUUUGACUUAAGUUGUCUCUUUGGGACCUUUUGGAUCUUCUCCCCUAACUUCUUAGGCUACAUUUCACUCUAAAAUGCUUUAAGAAAAGUGUCUCAUUCAGACACUGAAUUCUUUUAUUAAAGGGCAACUAAGGGGCUGGCACUAUGAUGUAGCGGGUUAAGCUGCUGCCUGCAGUGCUGGCAUCCCAUACGGGCACCAGUUGGAGUCCCCACUGCUCCACUUCCGAUCCAGCUCUCUGCCUUAGCCUGGAAAAGCAGUAGAAAAUGGCUCAAGUGCUUGGGCCCCUGCACCCACGUGGGAGACCCGGAGGAAGCUCCUGGCUCCUGGCUUCGGAUCAGCGCAGCUCUGGCUGUUGUGGCCAACUGGGGAGUGAACCAGCAGAUGGAAGACCUCUCUCUCUCUCUGCCUCUCCUCUCUCUAUGUAACUCUGACUUUCAAAUAAAUAAAUCUUUAAAAACAAGGCAAAUAAAUGAUCCUUAGUGAUAAGAGAAUCUUUCAAGUAGGAACAUAGGACCUUUGACCUGUCACAGUUAAGGAAAGAUCUGAUGUGAGGAUGCUGGCCCUGGCCCAGAGUGCACUGCACAACGGAGCCACCAUCUCCGAGGGUCUCCUCCUGCCCUGAGCAGCAGACCAGCAUCCUGAAGAAGGAGAGGGAAUAAGCCUCGGUCUUUCAUGUUAUUUUAUUACUUUUUAAAAAGAUUUAUUUAUUUAUUUGAAAGAGUUGCAGAGAGAGAGAGAGAGAGGGAGGGAGACACAGAGAGAGAGAUUGUCCAUCUGCUGGUUCACUCCCCAAAUGGCCACGAUAGCCAGGGCUGGGUCAGGCUGAAGCCAGGAGCCUGGAACUCCAUCCAGGUCUCCCACAUGGGUUGCAGGGGGCCAAGCACUUGGACCAUCCUCCGCUGCUCUCCCAAGUGUAUUACUAGGGAGCUGGGUUGGAAGUGGAACAGCUGGGACUUGAACCAGUGCCAUAUGGGAUGCUGGCAUCACAGACAGCGGCUUAACCCACUGUGCUGACCCUGGUUCUUCACUUUAAUGCUGCCUUCCUCCUUGAGUUUCCUCAGCUCAGGCUGCCUGGCGCUGUAACUCCUUACCCAGUUGUUGAAGCCUGUUGUGGUCUCCUCCCUGUCUGAACGUCUAGCCCUCACUUCAAUGCACACUUCAGCAUCGAGGUAUUCUCUGAUUAUUUCGUGUACAUUCCCUGUGGGUUCCCAAGGAUGAGGCUUCUUCAAUGUAGGGAGACCAGUCUAUAUACAAUAUCUUUUGUUGGAUGGAUGGAUGGAUGGAUGGAUGGGUGGAGGGAGGGGCAUCCAAAGCAACCAAACAACAAACCAAAUGCCUCUCCUCUGUGCAAUAGGUCUGUCUGCAGAGGGCCUGCCACUGGCUCUGGCGAUUUGGUCCUCUGGAAGUUCAGGGUUUGGGUUGAACAGUUAGUGUUGGGAAAGAGAGAGGGAAGCAUAGACGGAUCUGUGAUAGCCACAGAGGAGGAAUUCCCCGAACAGGCCAACUGCGGGGUGAGGAGGGGGUGACGGCAAGAGGAGCAGUGGGUAUUGGAAUGCUGUUUGGCACCCUGUGGAAGGGAGGGUGAUGGGGAGUCUGGACAACCGGGGCUCAGGUCCAAGGUGUGGGCAGUCUGGAUGGUUCAGCAGACCCAUCCCUGCCUCCCUUCUCUAGAAUGAGAGGCAGGGAAUGCUAACUGGAGAACAUCGGCUGGGAGCUGCCUAUGAGGCUGUAUCUCUUUGGUAAACAGCUUCCACUAAGAUAAAUCUGGGGUUGUCAGAAAGAGGAAAAUGAAAGGUCAGGUUGAUGAUGGAAGAGGCAAACAUCAUGUCUGUUGUGCAAUCUCCUGAUGGCACGAAUGCAUUUGAAUAGAUCAUCUAAUGAGGGGAGAAGUGCUGUCGAAGCCAGGGUGGCUGAUCCACACUUGCUGGCUGUCCGAGCGAGUAACUAGAGAGGCAAGGGGAGCAGGAGAGAAGUGCGCUGUGCUGCUCACAACCAGAGGUCGAUGGGCAGUGGAUACUUGCAGCUGGACCAGCCCUAGGAACGAAGGUGGGCAGUUAGAGGUGCCUUUUGGCAGCUUCACUUGCCCAUCUGAGCACCAGUGCAAGCUGUCGUGUGCUGGUUAAUGCCCUUCACUUCUUUCUCCUCCCUGAUCGCCUUUGCAACACUGUAUCCAGUAAGAGUGGUGAGCGUGGACAUCCUUGCCUCCUUCCAGGUCUGUGGGGAAAUGCCUUCAGCUUUUUCCUGUUCAACCUGAUACUGGCUGGUGGUUUGCCAUCUACAGCCUUUGUAAUUUUGAGGUGCAGCACCUACAUCAGUUACAGCAGUUGCCCUGGGAUGGAAUGAAAGAUGGAGCACAAACAAACAUUCCAUGAAGGUGCAGUUUUCUAUCAUGAAUACACGGAGAGAAAAUAAAUUAAAUGUGGUCCAUGAAGUUCAAGUUCUCUUGGGAAAGUUUUAUUCAUAGCCCCGCCACUGCUAUGCCUUUUAAUAUUUUAAGGGCGGGCAAUAGUCAUCACCCAGGCUUCCUUGUAGCCAGUCAUGAACACUGAAAGGCUGCAGGUGCCCUGAGGUCCACUGGGGAUUUUUUCACGCUACUUAAACAGUAUAGUGUGGAUAUUCUAGGACUAAAGGCUAUGCAUAGCUGUCCAGAUAACGAGGCUCUAAGCCUUCUCCUGGUAUGAAAGCAGGAUUCUCAGCCUCACGCAGGCUGUCCAUUUUCAUCUGACGUGCCACAGACUGGCCAGAAGGCAACUCUUUCAUCAGCCCGGCUCUCUCCGCAGAGUUAAUGAUUAUCCCCGGAGAACCACUGUUUUCUCAGAGCACAUCCUGUUUCAUUUCAGCCCAAGCUGCAGUUAGGAUCUCUGAACCGUGAACUUCAAACCCGUGGAAGGGAAUGUUGUGUUGGCUCAUUGUGUGUGAAGGUGUAAUUGAAGUUCACGAGAGAGUCCACAUCUAGGUUUAAUCGUUUUACAGCUUUGCUGGAAUACUUUCCCCUUAUUUUUGCCAAUCAUAACUUGCACUAAAAAUUAAUGUCUAUAACCGCAAGCUAAAGCUAGAAUAUUAAUCAUUUUUGACUUUAUAUUUUAUUGCCAAGCCCAAUCAUCUGUUUAAGGAAAAUUCUGCCUUUGACAAAUAAAAAUAUAAUGUGAAUCGCCCAAAUCUUGAUUUUUAUACCAGAAGUGAGUCUCAGCUAAGCCCCUUAUCAAAGGCAGAGACCAUAAUAAGAGAAUUUGUAAACUGAAAAACUAAAAAAGUUUUUGUGUGGUUUUGCUCUGUCAUAAACAUUGGCUAGCUUUAUAGAGUGUGGAUCAAGCUAGCCUCUCCUUAAAUGUGCUCCCUAAAUGAUUCACAACUAAUACAAAGUGUAGAUGUCCUGGACUAUACUCGUGAGCUAUGAUUAAUUUUAUAGAAGAAACACAGGACGUGAAUAGGUAUUGACUCUCUUAGGGGAAGGAUGGGGUCUUGUCUCAAGUUGUUCCAAACCAAGCAGGCUGAUUGUGUGGGCCAGCUCCUUUCUCCCAUGUGACGGGAACAAAGAGCAGCCAGUGAUUGGGUUCCAGCAGCCAGAGUCUCAGAAGUUUUGGGUUGGCUGCCCAACAGUUUUCCAUUUCUAUCCUCUGAGGAGUCAACUGAGUUGUAGGAUUAUGUACAACUUUCCAAUUUAUGUCUGUCUGGCAGCCAGAAACUCCCUGCUUCCUGGAAUUUGCUGAACAGGAUGACCUAAGGCCACCUAAGUCUUGGAUGGUCUGUGUUCACUACUUUAAGGCAAGUUUGAAACUGACCAUUCCCUUGGGAGAAAGAGCAGCAUCCCGGUGAUUGCAGUUUACUUGGAGUGUGUGUAAUAUCGCAUGCCAUAAACACCACCCUGGAGACUUAAAGGUAACGCAAAACCCUGUACAAACCCUUCGUCUGAACCACUAGAACUGAAAUUGUCUCAAUUAGUUCUCCAACAGAUAAGAUAUGCUUUGAAUAAAGGUAAAAUGGUUUGAAAAUGGCUGGAAUACCAUCCCAUAGUUGCAUAGAAUGGAGUAAAAUUUCUCUCUUAGAUGAACACUUCUGCAACCUGGUGGUAAGAACAUUCGCCUAUUUUGGGGGAUUAUCAUGAGGAUUGACACGGUGAUUUCUUUUCUUUUUUUAAAGAUCUAAAUUAUUUAUGUGCAAGACAGUUACAGAGAGAGGUAGAGACAGAGAGAGGUAUUCCCUCUGCUGGUUCACUCCCCAGAUGGCUGCAAUGGCCGGAGCUGCGCUGAUCUGAAGCCAGGAGCCAGGAGCUUCUUCUAGGUCUCCCACAAGGGUGCAGGGUCCAUGGACUUGGGCCAUCCUCCACUGCUUUCCCAGGUCAUAGCAGAGAGCUGGAUCAGAAGAGGAGCAGCCAGGACUAGAACCGGCACCCAUAUGGGAUGCCGGUGCUUCAGGCCAGGGCUUUAACCCACUGUGCCAAAAUGCCAGCCCCGACACACUGAUUUCAAAUCCUUUGUACAGAUAUCCAGUAAUGGGCUUACUGGAUUCUAUGGUAGUUCUGCUUUUGGUUUCUUGAGUUUUCAUAAAGUCUGUACUAAUUUACAUCCCUGUCAAUACCAGAGUGCUUCAUUUUUUGUAAAAGUGAGAUUAAAGGGUAGUUUAUUUUGGUGCAAUGAACUCUGAAACCCAAGCAUAAUUUUCUUCAUAAUAGGUAUUUCCCAUGAAUUCUCUGAAGACCCCUUGUAGAAUACAAGUAGGUUCCUUUUUUUCCAUAUCCUUAUGAACAUUUAUCUUUUAUAUUUUGGGGAUAAGCCAUCCUAAUAGAUAGGAACUGAUAUCUCAGUAUGAUUUUAAUUUGCAUUUCUCUAAUGAUUAGUGAUAUUGAACAUUUUUUCAUAUACCUGUUGGUCAUAUCUCUUUUUAAGGAAUGUCUUCUCAGGCCCUAUGCCCAUUUUAUAAUAUUUUUGUCUUCUUUUUUAGAAAUAACUGCAGAUGUAUAGUAACUUACAAAGAUGGCACAAAUAGAGCCUAUGUACUUUAUGCAAUACCAAAACCAGAAAAGUGCUUGGCAUAAUGUGUGUUCAUAGCUCUACUGGGCUUUGUACACAUUUCUGUCUGGCUGACUGCAGAAGUAGGCAAAAUUUUUGUCACCCCCGAAUAUCUCUUCUAUGUACAGUCAUAGUCCUUACAGUAAUGGUGCAUCACCUCGAAAUCUAUAUGAAUCAAUCCAUGAUGAAAAGAGAACUCUCUGCCAUCUCUGAAAUACUGUGUAGCCCCUUUCAAGCUGUGGGGUUGUGCGCCAAUUCUGGACAGAACCAGGAUGUGCACCUGCAGGGGAACUGUGUUACGUGGUGCCUGCCUGUUUUACUCUGAAAGAAGUUGCCGCGCUGUUUUCCACCAUGGCUGCAUCACUUGGCAUUCCCCUCAGCACCGGAGGACGUCUUCCAGUCUCCCUACAGCCUCAGCAGCACUGGGUUCAUCCGUCUUUUUCAUUUUGGCCAUUCUCACAGUUAUAGAAUAGUAUUUCAUGGUGUUUUUUCCUUGCCAUUUCCCUAGCAACCAAGGAUGUUGAAUAUUUUCUCACGUUUUCAGUUGUCAGUGUAUUAACUUUUUAAGUGCUAUAUGUCUAGUCAGAUCUUUUACCUACUUUUUAAAAAAAAACAGAUUGUAUGUCUUAUUAUUGGGUCUUGAGUAUUCUUCAUCUAGUCUUGAUACAAGCUCUUUAUGAGAUAUAGUUUUCUCCCUAUUUGAAUCUUGCCUCUUUAGUUUUUAAAACAGAUAUACACAUCUUUGGAAUUUUACAAACUUUUAGUUAAGAAUAAAUCUCAGUUUCAUCAAUUAUUUCUACUACUAUUCAUGUUUGGGGUAUCAUUUAUUAUUUUUUCCUAAACCAAAGUCAUGAAUAUCUCCUGGGGCCAGUGCUGUGGUACAGUGGGUUAAGCAGCCACCCCCAGCACCAGCAUCCCAUGUGGGUACCUGUUGCAGCCCUGGCUGCUCCACUUCCAAUCCAGCUCCCUGCUGAUACAGCUGGGAAAGCAGCAGGAGAUGGCCCAAGUGCUUGGGUCCCUGUACCCACAUGGAACACCACAGUGAAGCUCCUGGCUCCUGGCUUUGGCCUGGCCCAGCCCUAGCCAUUGCAGCCAUUUGGGGACGGAACCAGUGGAUGGGACAUAUUUUUCUCUCUUUCACUUUCUCUCUCUCUCUCUGUAACUCUGCAUUUCAAAUAAAUAAAAUAAAUCUUAAAAAAAUAUUUUCUCCUGGCUGGCGCCGCGGCUCACUAGGCUAAUCCUCCACCUUGCGGCGCUGGCACACCGGGUUCUAGUCCCAGUCGGGGCACCGGAUUCUGUCCCGGUUGCCCCCCUUCCAGUCCAGCUCUCUGCUGUGGCCCGGGAGUGCAGUGGAGGAUGGCCCAAGUCCUUGGGCCCUGCACCCCAUGGGAGACCAGGAGAAGCACCUGGCUCCUGCCUUUGGAUCAGCGCGGUGUGCUGGCCGCAGCGCGCCAGCCACAGCAGCAUUGGAAGGUGAACCAACGGCAAAGGAAGACCUUUCUCUCUGUCUCUCUCUCUCACUGUCCACUCUGCCUGUAAAAUAAAUAAAUUAAUUAAUUAAUUAAAAUUUUUUUUCUCCUACAUUUUAUUCCAGAUACCUGAUAAUUUAUGUCUCCAAUACAUUAUCAGCUAGUCUUAAAAAUAUGCUGUUGGGGGGCUGGCGCUGUGCAUAGCGGGUAAAAAGCCACCACCCACAGUGCCAGCAUCCUAUAUGGGCACCGGUUUGAGUCCUGGCUGCUCCACUUCUGAUCCAGCUCUCUGCUAUGGCCUGGGAAAGCAGUAGAAGAUGGCCCAAGUCCUUGGGCCCCUGCACCCACAUGGGAGACCUGGAGGAAGCUGCAGGCUCCUGGCUUUGGAUUGGCAUAGCUCCGGCCACUGCGGCCAAUUGAGGAGUGAACUAGUGGAUGGAAGACCUCUCUCUCUCUCUCUCUCUCUGCCUCUACUUCUCUCUGUGUAUGUAACUCUGACCUUCAAAUAAAUAAAUAAAUAUUUUAAAAAAUAUGCUGUUGGUGGAGAGUCUGUUCUUUUUACCCAUAUAGAUAUCCAGUUCUUCCAGUAACAUAUACUUAAAAGACAAUAAUUUUUUUUUUCUGUUAAAUGACCUUAACUUCUUUGUCCACAGUACGUUCUGUGGGUUUAUUUCCAGUCCCUGUUCAGUCCCAUUGGCAGAUAUAUCUGGGUUAGUGCACCUUUCUGAUACAUUUUAAAAUCUUGUAAGUCCUCCAGUUUGAACUUUGUUAAAAUUAUUUUAGCUGUUUUCCAUCUAUUGAAUUAGCAUCCGUCUAUUAAAUUAGCAUGCAGCUAAUAAAUAUGUACCACAAACUGGUGGAGUCUGAAUUUAGUUGCAUCUUUAGAUAAAGUGGAAGACAAUUAACAUUUUAACAGUAAGUCUCCUGAUGAAUUGACGUGGUACCCCUUCACUUGUUUUUUAAAAAAUAUUUCAGUAGUAUCUGUUGUUUUCAGUGUACAAAUGCUGCAGUAUACCUCAUUAAAUAUACUCGAGUUAUUUUUGUGUUUUAUGAUGCUAUUAUAAAAGGUAUUGUUUUUGUAAUUUUAAUUUCCAGUUGUUUAUUGCUAAAAUGUAGAAGUGCAGUUGAUUUUUGCCUACUAUCUUGUAUGCGGAGACAUUAUUAAACUCACUUUUAAAUUCUAGUAACUUUAAGGUAGGUUCUUUAUGAUAUAUUUGAAAUUUUGUUGUCUGUGAAGAAACAGGAUUCUACUGAUUUCUUUUCCUUCUCUAUGGAUUUUAUGAGUUUCUUCCCUAAGGCACUGGGUAUGACCUCUAGUUCAGUGUUGAGUAGAAAGUGCUAAUAGUAGACAUCCAUAGCAUAUGCCUGAUCUUAUGGGAAGCCAUCAGUCUUCACUGUUUAAAGACUGUUGGCUGUGAGUUUUGUGGAUAUUGCCUUCUAUUUCUAGGCAGCCACAUUUCAUUGACGCUGAAUUUUAUAAAAAAUGUUUGCUCCAUCUUUGAGUUUGGUUCUAUGUUUUUGACUUUUUAUUUCUAUUCUCUUAAUAUGAUGAAUUAUGCUGAUGUUUGGGUGUUAAAGUGAACUUGCAGGCCUGAGAAAAUCCCCACCUAUGAGGAAUUAUGUUUUGUAUGUACACAAUACACACAUGGGCACACACACAUACAUACGUGUUCACACAUUUGCACACACGUACACAAUACACACGUGCACACACAUAUACACACAUGCACGCACGUGCACACACAUGUGAUAGGUUUUGUAGAUGUCCUGAUUUGGCUGAGAAAGUCCCUUCUAGUUCUACUUUGCUGAGACUUUUUUCUUUUUCUCUGAUCAUCAAUGGAUUUUGAAUUUUGUGAAAUGCUUUUUUUCCACAUCCACGGGAAUUAUCCCAUGGUUUUUCUUCUUCAGUAUGUUAAUGUAGUGAGUUAUAUUAAUUGAUUUUUUGAAUCCUGACUUAAUCUUGCACUCCAAGUUGAAACCAUGCUUGGUCAUGACACAUUAUUCAUUUUGUAUAUUGCUGGCUUUGGUUUAAUAUUUUAACCUUUUUUUGGGUCUAUGUGACAGAGGAAUAUUGAAGUCUAAGUAGUUUUACCUUGUAAUAUCUGACUGUUUUUGUUCUCAAUGUAAUGUUGGCCUUGUGAAAUGAGUUGGAAAAUAUUUCCUUCUCUUCUAUUUUUUGGACGAGUUUUGUAGAAUUUGUAUUAUGUCAUCUUCAAAUGUUUGACAGAAUUAAUGAGUGAAGCCAUCUGAGCACAAUUUUCCUUGUUGAAAAGUUUUUAAAAGUCAAUUUAGUUCCUCAGAUUCAGGAAUAUUUACAUUUUUUUUGAGUGAGCAUCAUUUGUGCCUUUCAAAGAAUGUUCCUUUCAUGUACAUUUUCUGAUCUAUGGCAUGAUGUUGUAGUAUAUAUACCACCUUUUUCCUCCUUUGUGACUGGAGAACUUUGGUGUUGUGGUUGACGGCGCCUCUUCCAAUAUUCAGAAUUUAGUCCUUUGUGUUUAUCCCUGCUCUUUCUCUCCUUCUCUUCUCUCGAUUUCACUAAAUAGACACACACACACACACACAGACCCACAUCACCUAAAGGCAGGUGCCCUUGUAUGAACACCACGGAGUAUGCUUACACAGAUUAAGAUGGUUACAUGGUGACGGAAUCUUAUAGAACCAACACUGCACACACAGUCCUUCACUGACUGAAAUAUCAUUAUGGGGAUUUAUCAAUUUUAUUUGUAUUCCAGGGACCAGAUUUUGCUUUUAUCGGCUUUUCUCUAAUUUUCUAUUGUCUAGUUCAUUGACCCCUUUUCGACUCUAUAGUUUUCUUUGCUCUGCUCAUUUAGUACGCUUCCCUUUGGUAGUGAAGAAAUCUUAGGCCAUUGACGGAAGACUUUCUUUUGUCCUAAGAUAAGCGUUUAGUGCCCUUUACCUCUCUCCAGGCGCAGCUUCAGCUGCCUCUCACCAUCCUGAGUAUGUUUCGUUUUCAUUAACGUCUAGUUAAAAUCUUCUAAUUCCUUUUAUGACUUUUUAUUUGACCCAUGGAUUAUUUCUAAGUGGGUCAUUUGAUUUCCAAGUGUUUGAGAAUGUCCCAGAUAUGUUUCUAUUUCAGCAAAAAUACCUUGUAUGAAUCCACACUCCACCAGAAAGCUGUUAAAACUGAUUAACCAAUUCAGUAAAGUUGCAGGAUACAAAGUCAACAUACAAAAAUUAUUUUUUUAUACAGCAAUAAGUGAAAUAAGCCAGACACAGAAAGACAGAUAGUGCAUGUUCUCCCUGGUAUGUGUGGGCUGAAAAGAACAAACCUCAACCUGAACGCACAGUGGUGAUUACUGGAGGUUGGGAGGGGUGGGGAAUAGAGGGAGUUUGUAUAAUGAAUAUCAAAUUUGAGUUCAAGCAAAAGAGUCAAUUUCUGCUAUUACAUGUUGUAAUAGGUAGACGAAUAGCCUAGUAUAUAUAUUUUAUGAGCAAAUGGAAGGAAGGGGCUCCAAGGCUCCAACCCUAAAGUCAUGUCAAAGAAGGGGAAAUGCCGAUUACCCUGUCUUGAUCAGUAAUAUUGCAUGCAUGCAUUGAAGUGUCGCAAUGUAGUCCACACAUAUGUACAAUUAUUGCUAAUAAAAAUUUUUAAAGUUUAUUAUCUUUUAUUUUAUGGUCCCUAAUUUGUCCAUCCUGGGGAAUGUUUUAUGUGCUCUUGAGAAAAUAUGUACUCUGCAAUUCUGGGACAGAAUUCUGUAAUUGUCACUUAGGUCAGUUUUGUUGAUUAUGAUGUUCAAGGAUUCUACUCCUGUCUGUUCUAUUGAAUCCUGAGCAGAAGACUUGAAGUCUCUAACUGUAACUUUUGAUAUGGCUAUUUAAUCUUUUAGUUCUACCAGUUUUUGUUCAUGUAUUUUGAAGGCCUUUAAAUUGUUACCCCUCUUAUUUAAUUAAUAAAUAGCUUUAUUACCUUAAUACUCCUCUUUAAUCUCUGUUAAUCUGAAGUCUACUUUCUUCAUAUUCAUACAAUCAUAGAAGGCUUCUUUUGGCUAGUUUUUGUGUGGUGUAAUUUUUCCAUCCUUUUGCCUUGUAAACUGAAUUACUUAUUUUCAUUUUCUUUGAAAUGCACAGGGACAGAGGGAGCCAGAGAUCUCCCAUGUGCUAAUUCACUCCCUAAAUGCCUGCACUUGCCAGGGCUGGGUCAGACCAAAGCCAGGAACCUGGAAGUCCAUCCAGAUUUCCCAUGGGAGUAGUUGGGCCCCCACAUACAUGAGCCAUCACCUGUUGUCUCCCAGGGCACACAGUAACCGGAAGCAAGACAUGGAAGCAGAUUUGGAACUCAGCUCCUGAUGUAGUUUGUAGGUGUCCCAAGCUCUGUCUCACCCACUGGGCCAAAUACUUGCCCUGUGUCCUUUUUCUUUUAAUCCAUGUAUCUGUGUCAUUAUAUUUAAAGUGGGUCUCUUAUACAGAGCUGUACUUGAGCCUUGCUGUGACUUUUUUGUGGAAAAAAAAACCUAAUCUGAAAAAUCCUUGUAUUUUAGUUGAUUUGCUAAUCCCAUUUCCUUUAAAUGUAAUUAUUGAUAUAGUUGGGUUGAAAUCUACCAUCUGACUAAAUGUUUUCUGUUUUACCCUUUAUUUCCUCUAUUUUACAUUUCCACUUUUCUCUCUCAUUAUCCUUGUGUUGUUUUGUGACUAUCCUUUACUGUGUCUUAUACUUGAAUGUGUAGUUCUUGAAUAGGUAGCCUGAUAUAUUUUACCAUUUACUGAAAAAUUCUCAUCCAUUAUCUCUUCAAAUACUUCUGCUGUCCUGUUCUUCUUCUGAAAUUCUAAUUCCAAGUAUUUUACAUAUUUGGCAUUGUACCACUUUCUUCUUUUUAAAGUCUUCCUAUUCCAUGCCUUUGAGUCUGAAUUUAAAUAAGUGUGGUGUGUGUGUGUGUGUGUUGUUUGUGUGUAUGUUGUGUGGUGUGUGUAUGUUGUGUGUUGUGUUGUGUGUGUCUGUGUUGUGUUGUGUGUAGUGUGUGUGUGGCAUGUGUGGUGUGUGUGUUGUGUGGUGUGUGUUGUGUGUGGUAUGUAUUGUGUGUCUGUGUUGUGUAUGUUGUGUGUUGUGUGUGUUGUGUGUUGUGUGGUGUGUGUUGUGUGUGUGGCGUGUGUGUUGUGUGUGGUGUGUGUGUGGCGUGUGUGUUGUGUGUGGUAUGUGUUGUGUGUUUUUGCAGUGUGUGUGUUGUGUAUUUGCGGUGUGUGUGGUGUGUGUGUGGUGUGUGUUUGCGGUGUGUGUGGUGUUUGUGUGGUGUGUGUUUGCGGUGUGUGUGUUGUGUGUGUUGUGUGUAUGUUGUGUUUGUGUAUGUUGUGUGUUGUGUGUCUGUGUGUUGUGUGUGUUGUGUAUAGUGUGCGUGUUGUCUGGUGUGUGUGUGGCGUGUGUGUGGUGUGUAUGUGGCA